AGCGAACGCUGGCGGCAGGCCUAACACAUGCAAGUCGAACGGACCCUUCGGGGUUAGUGGCGGACGGGUGAGUAACACGUGGGAACGUGCCCUUUGGUUCGGAAUAGCUCCUGGAAACGGGUGGUAAUGCCGAAUGUGCCCUUCGGGGGAAAGAUUUAUCGCCAUUGGAGCGGCCCGCGUCUGAUUAGCUAGUUGGUGAGGUAAAGGCUCAUCAAGGCGACGAUCAGUAGCUGGUCUGAGAGGAUGAUCAGCCACAUUGGGACUGAGACACGGCCCAAACUCCUACGGGAGGCAGCAGUGGGGAAUCUUGCGCAAUGGGCGAAAGCCUGACGCAGCCAUGCCGCGUGAAUGAUGAAGGUCUUAGGAUUGUAAAAUUCUUUCACCGGGGACGAUAAUGACGGUACCCGGAGAAGAAGCCCCGGCUAACUUCGUGCCAGCCGCCGCCGUAACAC
rnacentral:rRNA from 1 species